UACGUAGGGGGCAAGCGUUGUCCGGAUUUAUUGGGCGUAAAGAGCGUGUAGGCGGCCUGGUAGGUCAGCUGUGAAAACUCGAGGCUCAACCUCAAGAUGUCGGUUGAAACCACUUGGCUAGAGUCCGGAAGAGGAGAAUGGAAUUCCCGGUGUAGCGGUGAAAUGCGCAGAUAUCGGGAAGAACACCCGUGGCGAAGGCGGUUCUCUGGGACGGUACUGACGCUGAGACGCGAAAGCGUGGGGAG
rnacentral:rRNA from 1 species